rnacentral:piRNA from 1 species
CCAAAGAACGUUUGGGAAAAUCUUGGUAGU